CUUGAACGCACGAACAAAACACCGCUAUUUGGAUAUAACUAUGGAUUAUUUGGAACCAAACCAACAUUUGUUGUUGAAGUAGAAGUCCUGGGAGUGCAUUCUGACGAAGAACAGCAAAGGUCCAGGACGUCCUCCACUCUCUCUUCUCCCGGGCCCAGGAUCCCUGCUCCUCCUGGACACGCUGCUUGGUCUUUUUGUGGUGGGAUCUUCUGUGGCGGCGUUCGUCGGAAGGGAGGAGACCAAGGUGCAGCGUGGUGGGAAAGGGCAGUGUGGAGUGCGAUUGAGAUUGCAUCAUCUGUGGAUCUGUUGGGGCGGUAUGCAAAUUGGAGUGGGUCUAGGGUUUCCGGAAUGAUGGUGUUGAUGUGAGCCAUGACCAGCCUUUCAAAAGUGAACGUGCCUUGUGUGUGCCCUGCCAGCUUGUGGCCUUGUGUCCUGCCAGCGUUGUCUGGCUGGUUAUUCAUGGCAGCAGGUGCUCUCCCUUAGCGGAAUGGGUCUCCAGCUUCUGUCCUCCAGGGCCUGAGGAACAAGGGACUCAUGACUCCACUGCACCUGAUCUCCUCCCCUGGCACCACUGGGCCGGUACCAGGCCACUGAUUAUGCAAAGCUUUUAGCAUGCAGAUAUGUUUUUGGGGGAAUGUAGCUUCUUUUGAAGGAAAAAAAUAUUUACGGGAACAAAGUUCCACAUCACACUAUAAUUUUCCCUUUGAUGUUUUAUGCACAGCGUUCCUUGGAGAGAGUUUGGGUGGUAGAGUGAGAGGGGCUCUGAGGAAAUGUAUUUUUCAUAGACCACUUAUAACGGGAAAAGCGCCAACAGGGGUUAAUUUUGACCCCAAGUGGUCAAAACCUUAUUUUUAUCCUUCUGAGAUUUUCGGACUUUAUCAACCAACUAGUUGCUGACCCAAAACAUAAUAAUUGACCAUGCUUUCUGUGUUAAUAUGGAGGAAUGAAAAAUUAUCUUAAUUUUCUAUACUAGUGGUGCAUGGCUAAGUUUAAAAUGUUGCCUCAGUAGUGCAUUUUGUGAUAAAAGCACCAAAUGUUGCACAGCUAUAUGUACCCUGACAACCCCAGAUUUUUUUUUUAUGUACAUAAAUUAAUCUCCAGCCAAGAAAAAAUGUAAAUACAGUUUGUAAUCUGGAAGAGAUUCAUUUGGUACACAUUAAUAGAAAUCAAAUGCACAAUAUAUUUUAGAGAUUGUCAUGCUCUAUGAGGAGUUCUCCAGAAUCUCACUUAAAGCAUUUCAAUGGCUCUACUGUGAACAACAUAGGUCAAUCAUACAAUAAACAUUCAAACAACAAACCACUGCCAGAAAAUCCUGAAUUGAUAUGUGAAUAUAAACAGCAAUGUAACUCAUAUAAUCCAAUUACCUGAUUAUUUGAUUCUGCGUUUAUUAAAUCAGAGUUUUACUGUAAGUGUGAAUCUCAACUGUAAAUUCAGCCCUAAAACAAUUAUCACAGUAACACAUCAACCCCUAACUCCCUCCCAUCUACUGAAACAGACCAAGGGAAGAUUGGCUGCAGUUUUACCAUGUUUUACAUUGAUGUGAUUAAUUGUAUGGCGCUCAAUCAAUCGAUCUGUUCCUUUUCUUCCUCUCCCUCUCUAUCCCUCUCUAUCCCUCUCUUAGCUUCCAGUCAAUGUUUAUAUACCAAUUUGAGAGUAUCAUCUUUCAGCUGCGAUUGGAACUGAGUUGACAGCCCACAGUGUUCCAAAGUUAGAGCAAAAAUUCUGAUGGCACUGGCGCCAAUGUUGCAUAUAUCACCAAAAACGGUGGCCAUCUUAGGUUGUAGCUCAAUCGCCAAUUCCUCAGCCUCUGAGAGUCACAUAAACAACGCUUUCUGUAGGACAGACGCUGGAAGACGAGAAGCAAGUAUAGGGAGUGAACAUUAAAUGAAUAACUGACAAGAAACAAACAAGGACAGCGUCUGAACAGGGGAAACAUAACGACAAUAAUGCUUACACGGGGAACAAACUUAGGAACAGACAGAUAUAUGGCAAUCAACAAAGUGAAGGAUUCCAGGUGAGUCCAAUAUUGCACUGAUGUGUGAAAUGAUGGUGACAGAUGUGAGUAGUGAUGGGCAACCUGGUGCCUUCGAGCACCAGGGAGUGGGAGCAGACAUGACAGCUUUCAAUGAAUAACAGAAACAUGUUCAUGACAAGUUGCUAUGGAUGGAAUUUAUCAAAAUAAUAUAUGCUUAUUUUGGGGAAAUAAAACCAAUAACUUGUGUUACAAAAGGUUAAUAAAAGGAAACGUGUUACCUGCUUGACAGACACUAACCACAUUUCCAUCCAUAGAUUUCCUGCGAAUAAAGUCCUACCGUAUUUAAAAGAAA
rnacentral:lncRNA from 1 species